CAGCCUCCAGCUUUUAAAGCCCGACUCUACUUCCUGUUUUCCGCUUCCCACCACGCAUGCUCACAGUGUGACUGGCUGCCUCGUGUUUCUGCUGGCGUACUUUUCCCUUCCACCACGGCCUGUAAGCCAAGACAAACCUUUCCACCUUUAAGUUGCUUCUUGUCAGGUAUUCGACAGAGUUGCUAACCAAGUGUAACUCAUGAAGAAGACUCGGAGAUGAGGGUGACUAAACAGAGGGAGCUGGAAUCGUCUGGAAGGUAACUUCACUCAUACAUCUAGUAGUUGAAGCCAGCUGCCAACUGGACCUUAGCUGGGGCUAUUGACGGGAACAUUUGCACAUGGUCACAUGACACAGCCCAGGCUCCUGCCAAGGCAGAAAAGAGGAGCCAUUUCCUUCUGCGUGCCUCUUUAGACAACGAGAAAGAAUUCCCUUAAGAGGUCACCGCCUUGAGAGCCAGGGACCAGUUGCAGCCCUUCUGAGGUCCUGAACAUCUGAUCCAUGCCAUGAAUAGACCUGGCGUCUUGAAUCACAGGCUAUCCCUGAAGGAGGUAAGCCUGCCAAGUGAUCAAAACAAUGCCCUUGCAAGCCAACAGAAGAUGCUGGAUCCCCAGGGAUUGGAUUUACAGAAGCUUGUGAGCUACCAAGUAGGUGCUGGGAAUUGAACCCAAGUCUUCUGGAAGAAGAGCCAGUGCAACCACUGUUAACUCUUCAGCCCCUCAAAAUCUUUGACUUUGGGAGCUGGAAGAGAUUUUUUAGGCCUUGGUAUAGCUUUCUGGUUGUACAAUCAACACUUGGAGGUGUUGACAGAUUUUUCUGUCCAGCCCAGUCCCACCAACCCUCAGCUCAAAUAAACACACAGAGGCUUA